GACGAACGCUGGCGGCGUGCCUAAUACAUGCAAGUCGACCUUAGUGGCGAACGGGUGAGUAACACGUGGGUAACCUGCCCACCAGAAGGGGAUAACACGUGGAAACCGGUGCUAAUACCGUAUACUGAUGGAUGGACCCGCGGUGCAUUAGCUAGUUGGUGAGGUAACGUCUCACCAAGGCAACGACGCAUAACGGACCUGCGAGGGGGAUCGGGCACAAUGGGGCUGAGACCGGGCCCAAACACCUACGGGAGACAGAGGUAGGGAAUCUUCGGCAAUGUACGAAAGUCUGACCGAGAAACGCCGCGUGAGUGAAGAAGGUUUUCGGAUCGUAAAACUCUGUUGUUAGAGAUGCGGUAUCUAACCAGAAAGCCACGGCUGACUACGUGCCAGCAGCCGCGGUAAUAC
rnacentral:rRNA from 1 species